rnacentral:lncRNA from 1 species
AGUAGGAAUUUUCUUUUCAUAAAAUAUCUUUUCAUAUAAUAGACUUAGUAUAUGUUUCUUCCGAUCUCAAAAUGCAUUAGGUAUAUCAGAGCAAUUGUUUCUUAUAAGCCUACUUUUUAUCUUUUGGAUUUUUUUUCCUAUUUUUAGAGAUUUUAAUUAUUCUUCUAUUCUUUUAAAAUUAACUUCUUCUUUUAAAUACUCAAUUUGCUUUUGCUUUCAUUCUAUUUGAUUUAUUGAUUCAAGUGUUUUGUCGAAGGGCC